rnacentral:lncRNA from 1 species
GGGUCGUUAACCGUAAUUAACGGCGGAGCAUCCCGCAAUUAACGCCCGUCGCCAUCGGCCGGUGGCCUUAACGCCGGUAUCGCCGCUGGGGGCGGGGCGUCUUCAUCAUCGUCAUCGUCAUCUUCAUCAUCGUCAUCAUCUUCACCUUCAUCAUCGUCAUCUUCGUUAUUGUCGUCUUCAUCUUCAUCUUUGUCAUCUUCGUCAUUGCCAUCAUCUUCACCAGCACCAUCUUCAUUAUCCUCAUCACCAUCAUCAUCUUCAUCAUCGUUGUCUUCACCUUCAUCAUCCCCACUAUUGUCAUCAGCAUCAGCAUCUUCACCUUCAUCAUCGUCAUCUUCAUCAUCAUUGUCAUCGUCAUCAUCUUCAUCACCGUCACCUUCAUCGCCAUCAUUUUCAUUGUCACCUUCAUCAUCGUCGCCUUCAUCUUCGUCGUCGUCGUCGUCUUCACCUUCAUCAUCAUCACCAUCUUCAUCACCAUUGUCGUCAUCUUCAUCAGCAUCAUCUUCAUCACCGUCAUCAUCUUCACCUUCAUCAUCGUCAUCUUCGUUAUCAUCGUCGUCGUCACCAUCUCCAUCAUCUUCAUCAUCAGCAUCACCAAACGCCCCCAACCUCCUGGCAGAGCCUUCGGCCUCGGCCUUCCUCUUCCUCUUCGUCAUCGCUUCCAUCAUCUUCAUCCUCAUCAUCGUCUUCAUCUUCGUCAUCUUCAUCUUCACCAUCAUCGUCGUCAUCAUCAUCGCUGUCAGCGUCAUCCACUGCCCCCAACCUCCCGGCAGAGCCUUCAGCCUCGGCCCUCCUCUUCCUCUUCGUCAUCAUCAUCUUCAUUAUCUUCAUCAUCUUCAUCAUCAUCUUCAUCAUCAUCUUCAUCAUCAUCAGCAGCAGCAUCAUCCAAUGCCCCCAACCUCCUAGCAAAGCCUUCAGCCUCAGCCUUCCUCUUUCUCUUCCUCUUCCUCUUCCUCUUCCUUUUCUUCUUUGUCAUCAUCAUCUUCAUCAUCUUCAUCUUCAUUUCAUUAUCAUCUUCAUCACCAUCAUCAGCAGCGUCAUCCAUUGCCUCCAACCUCCUGGCAGAGCCUUCAGCC